rnacentral:rRNA from 1 species
UCCUACGGGAGGCAGCAGUGGGGAAUAUUGCACAAUGGGCGCAAGCCUGAUGCAGCCAUGCCGCGUGUGUGAAGAAGGCCUUCGGGUUGUAAAGCACUUUCAGCGAGGAGGAAGGUGGUGAGCUUAAUACGCUCAUCAAUUGACGUUACUCGCAGAAGAAGCACCGGCUAACUCCGUGCCAGCAGCCGCGGUAAUACGGAGGGUGCAAGCGUUAAUCGGAAUUACUGGGCGUAAAGCGCACGCAGGCGGUUUGUUAAUUCAAAUGUGAAAUCCCCGGGCUCAACCUGGGAACUGCAUUUGAAACUGGCAAGCUAGAGUCACGUAGAGGGAGGUAGAAUUCCAGGUGUAACGUUGAAAUGCGUACAGAUCUGGAGGAAUACCGGUGGCGAACGCGGCCCCCUGGACUAACACUGACGCUCAAGUGCGAGAGCGUGAGGAGCAAACAGGAUUACAUACCCUGGUAGUCCACGCUGUAAACGAUGUCGAUUUGGAGGCUGUGCCCUUGAGGCGUGGCUUCCGGA